rnacentral:rRNA from 1 species
GCAAGUCGAGCGGUAACAUUUCUAGCUUGCUAGAAGAUGACGAGCGGCGGACGGGUGAGUAAUGCCUGGGAAUAUGCCUUAGUGUGGGGGAUAACUAUUGGAAACGAUAGCUAAUACCGCAUAAUGUCUUCGGACCAAAGGGGGGGAUCUUCGGACCUCUCGCCAUUUGAUUAGCCCAAGUGAGAUUAGCUAGUUGGUAAGGUAAUGGCUUACCAAGGCGACGAUCCCUAGCUGGUCUGAGAGGAUGAUC